GCAUCCAUGGUCCAGCGGUAGGAUAAUCGCCUUCCACCUUCGAAAGAAGGCCAGUUAGCGAUUGGCACGGGUUCGACUCCCGUUGGAUGCA